rnacentral:rRNA from 1 species
UGGGGAACCGUGCCCCACUAGUCUGGGAUACCACUUGGAAACAAGGUGCUAAUACCGGAUAAGAAAGCGGAUCGCAUGAUCAGCUUUUAAAAGGCGGCGUAAGCUGUCGCUAUGGGAUGGCCCGCGGUGCAUUAGCUAGUUGGUAAGGUAAAGGCUUACCAAGGCGAUGAUGCAUAGCCGAGUUGAGAGACUGAUCGGCCACAUUGGGACUGAGACACGGCCCAAACUCCUACGGGAGGCAGCAGCU